UGCUAAGAUCUUGUUUCAUCUUAACACACACGAGAUGCCUUGUCUUCAUUUCGUGGACAGGCAAGGCCGAAUUCCGUUUCACAGAUAGAGGACUGAGAUCUGGAGGCAGAGGGCAGGAAUUAAAAACAAGACAAACAAGAGCCUUAUACAGGCAGUGUCUUUCUGAGUCUGAUCCCUGUUGUCUUGAGAGCUGCGGUGAGGGAAAGUCGUCUUCAGAGCCCUCAGGGUCAAAGCAGUUUGUUACCCUUGAGAUAGACAAAGCUCCUAACCUCUCCAGCUUUUUGCCGACAGCUCGAUUCUGAUGGGCACUGACCUUUUCCGACCCUGUUUUCAGGAGCCGACUCCUGGCAGGUUGGUUGUAGGGGCCCUCUUGAGUGCUUCACACACAGCAGUCCUGUUGGGGUGAAGGUCACCGUCACUGUGAUAAUUGUUGUCGUCGUUGAAACCACCCAGCCCGAAAGCAGCAUGGGCUGUGCCCAGAGCCGCCGUGCCAGAAGCCCACGCUUAGAAAUAGAGGGCCGAAGACCAAAGAGGACUGCGGGUUCUUGGGCCAAACGUGACCCUCUCAAAUCCCCCAACUCGGGGAUUUCGUUAGCUGGGGACUGGUGUGCCCGGGUUCCAAGACCCCUGCGUAGACUCUGUCUAUAGGUGGAAGAAGGCCUUUGCCCCGAGGCAUCCAGAGGUAACGGCGUUUCGGCCUAGCUGCCGCCGGUCCAAUCCGCAGCGCUUCCGUGCCCCACUUUCCCGCGUCAGCCUGGCUCCGGCCUCCACCAGGGGGUGCUAGUGAGAUCCCAGCCAGCCUCAGAGCUGAGCGUCCAGGGCCUUCAAAUGUCCCCAUCCUUGAAAAGGCAACUCCAGUGGCAUCUUCUGCGGGGAGACCAGAAGCAGCAUCUGACGAGGAGACAGCACUGGCGGUCCCGACACAACUGAAUCGGCAGGAUGAGGGCCCUUAGUGUUAGGCACCGGCGGAGCUGCAUCCCACCCCGUCUCGUCCCCUGAGAACAGCUGUGAGAAGCCGCCUAUUUUUCAUCGUUCUGCAACACACCUUUCCCUUCCUUGGGAUAUUUCUCCUCUUUCAGCAUUGCCGCAUCAGGGUUCCAAAGCCCCGUUUCUCUCCUAGUUCUUUCUUUGCUCAAGAAAAGCAGCUUGUCUGAUAAACUAAGCUAUGUAUGAUUCGCUGCCAGUACAGACUGAAAAACAAAAUAAACUCCCAAUUCACAGUCCUCCGUUGCGUAACAGUGAGCAGACGUUCUGAGAAAUGCAUCGUCAGGCAAUUGCAUCAUUGUGCAAACAAUAUAGAGUGUACUUACCCAAACCUAAACAGCACAGCCUACUACACACCCAGGCUGUAGGCUGUGCUUCUAGACUACAAACCUGUACAGUGUGGUACUGAACACUGUAGGCAACUGUAACACAAUGGUAA
rnacentral:lncRNA from 10 species